UCCAGUAAAUUGUUUUCUGCCAAAAAAAAACGAGAAAAUGCGGUCAAGAGUAUUCGCGCCCACUGAAAAAAGGAAAAGUCGUCUAUCAAUCAGUUUUGCACAGUGGGUGGAGAAGGCUUAACGGACCACUGGGGAUUUCAUAUAA
ensembl:ncRNA T21B10.8 ncRNA